GAUGAACGCUAGCGGCAGGCCUAACACAUGCAAGUCGAGGGGUAAGGAGAGCUUGCUCUCCCUAGACCGGCGUACGGGUGCGUAACACGUGUACAAUCUACCUUUUACUAAGGGAUAGCCCGAAGAAAUUUGGAUUAAUACCUUAUAGUAUUAUUUUAUGGCAUCAUUAAAUAAUUAAAGCUACGGUGGUAAAAGAUGAGUACGCGUCCCAUUAGCUAGUUGGAGUGGUAACGGCACACCAAGGCUACGAUGGGUAGGGGUUCUGAGAGGGAUGUCCCCCACACUGGUACUGAGACACGGACCAGACUCCUACGGGAGGCAGCAGUGAGGAAUAUUGGACAAUGGUCGGAAGACUGAUCCAGCCAUGCCGCGUGCAGGAUGACGGCCUUAUGGGUUGUAAACUGCUUUUAUACAGGAAGAAUAAGGUCUACGAGUAGAUUGAUGACGGUACUGUAUGAAUAAGCAUCGGCUAACUCCGUGCCAGCAGCCGCGGUAAUACGGAGGAUGCGAGCGUUAUCCGGAAUCAUUGGGUUUAAAGGGUCCGUAGGCGGGCGUAUAAGUCAGAGGUGAAAGCACUGAGCUCAACUGAGUAACUGCCUUUGAAACUGUAUGUCUUGAAUAGUUGUGAAGUAGCUGGAAUGUGUAGUGUAGCGGUGAAAUGCAUAGAUAUUACACAGAACACCGAUUGCGAAGGCAUGUUACUAACGACCGAUUGACGCUGAUGGACGAAAGCGUGGGGAGCGAACAGGAUUAGAUACCCUGGUAGUCCACGCUGUAAACGAUGGAUACUAGCUGUUUGGUUUUCGGACUGAGUGGCUAAGCGAAAGUGAUAAGUAUCCCACCUGGGGAGUACGCACGCAAGUGUGAAACUCAAAGGAAUUGACGGGGGCCCGCACAAGCGGUGGAGCAUGUGGUUUAAUUCGAUGAUACGCGAGGAACCUUACCAAGGUUUAAAUGGGGAACGACGUACCUAGAGAUAGGUAUUUCUUCGGACGUUUUUCAAGGUGCUGCAUGGUUGUCGUCAGCUCGUGCCGUGAGGUGUCAGGUUAAGUCCUAUAACGAGCGCAACCCCUGCUGUUAGUUGCUAGCGAGUCGUGUCGAGCACUCUAACGGGACUGCCGGUGCAAACCGUGAGGAAGGUGGGGA
rnacentral:rRNA from 1 species